ACCCUCCUAGUUCUCUCUACUGAUUUGGUUUGUUGUUCAAAAUACCUUUCUUUUGCUGUCGAUUUUCUACUUUCCAUCCCUAUCGAUUCAUUCUUAUUUUUCUAAUUUACUCUUCUCAGUUUCUUUCUUUUUUUUCCCGAAAGCUUUUGUCGAAUAUUGCUAGGUGUGCAGUUGUUAUAUCUUUUGUUUCUUUUUCUUC
rnacentral:lncRNA from 1 species